CCUACGGGAGGCAGCAGUGAGGAAUAUUGGUCAAUGGCCGUAAGCCUGAACCAGCCAAGUCGCGUGAAGGAAGAAGGAUCUAUGGUUUGUAAACUUCUUUUAUAGGGGAAUAAAGGUAUCCACGUGUGGAUAUUUGCAUGUACCCUAUGAAUAAGCAUCGGCUAACUCCGUGCCAGCAGCCGCGGUAAUACGGAGGAUGCGAGCGUUAUCCGGAUUUAUUGGGUUUAAAGGGUGCGUAGGUUGUUUUUUAAGUCAGCGGUGAAAGUUUGUGGCUCAACCAUAAAAUUGCCGUUGAAACUGGAAGACUUGAGUGUGUUUGAGGUAGGCGGAAUGCGUGGUGUAGCGGUGAAAUGCAUAGAUAUCACGCAGAACUCCGAUUGCGAAGGCAGCUUACUAAGCCAUAACUGACGCUGAGGCACGAAAGCGUGGGGAUCAAACAGGAUUAGAUACCCCAGUAGUC
rnacentral:rRNA from 1 species